CCUACGGGAGGCAGCAGUGAGGAAUAUUGGUCAAUGGGCGCGAGCCUGAACCAGCCAAGUCGCGUGAGGGAAGACGGUCCUAUGGAUUGUAAACCUCUUUUGUCGGGGAGCAAACUACGCCACGCGUGCCGUUCCGAGAGUACCCUACGAAAAAGCAUCGGCUAACUCCGUGCCAGCAGCCGCGGUAAUACGGAGGAUGCGAGCGUUAUCCGGAUUUAUUGGGUUUAAAGGGAGCGCAGGCGGACGAUCAAGUCAGCGGUAAAAUUGAGAGGCUCAACCUCUUCGAGCCGUUGAAACUGGUUGUCUUGAGUGAGCGAGAAGUAGGCGGAAUGCGUGGUGUAGCGGUGAAAUGCAUAGAUAUCACGCAGAACUCCGAUUGCGAAGGCAGCAUACCGGAGCGCAACUGACGCUCAUGCACGAAAGUGUGGGUAUCGAACAGGAUUAGAUACCCUAGUAGUC
rnacentral:rRNA from 1 species